UUUUGGGUCGUGCCUUAGGCUAAAAUGUGGUUUUGGGCCAACAGCGUGACACUCGGCUAUACGGGCCUAGAAACUUGCCACUGGGCCAGCUGUAUGGAGGCCCACUCAGAAACGCCAGCGCGGGUCAGUUCCCUGCCUCUAUGUCGAGCGAAAAAAGAAAAGAAUCUUCUCAAAAAAUAAACUGUUGAGCGGAAAAAGAAAAGAAUCUUCUCAAAAAAUAAACUGUCGAGCUGAGCAGCACUGCGCCGCCGCCCCUCCUCCCGUCUCUGGCCCCGCGACCCGCCGAACGCCGACCCGAGGACCGCGAGGGCGUCGGGGAAGCGCACGACCCGGACAUCCUGCAAUCGUGCUCGGCUGCUCGCCUCGCCCAGUCUAAUCGUCAUUAGCAGCCAUGGCGGCGCCUGAAUCCGGCAGCCACGGCCUCAAACAGCACACCCCGACACGCGGCACACUUCACGCUUACACGGCUCCUCCACUAUUGCACCGGCGAGUAGCACCGACCGUAGCAUCACUGCAUUAACAUACGGUGGUCAGCAGGCAGCAGCACCGUUCCAAAAAUAAAGAACAAGUCUGGUGAUUGAAACAUGUGUGCACCCAUUCCUUGCUUACAAAAGAAAUCCCGGACGGAGGGAGUAGAAGCUACACUAUCUAUGCUGAUGUUUGUAAAUUUCCUUCUUGGUUUAUCUCUUGUGUAAGUUCCUGCAAAUUGGUAGAGGGCGCAGUGUGCUAACUCAUGGUCUUACUGCCCAGGCGCAUCAGAUCACUAUUAGUAAUCUAUGGAUGGGGCAUGUCCCUCCAGUGUUGAGUUGGCUUGUAAUGACUCUGUAACUCUGAUUCCCUAUGAGUAUUCAGAAAAGGAAGGAAACUGACCUAUGCCCA